GCCUACGGCCACACCACUCUGGCAACGCCCGAUCUCGUCCGAUCUCGGAAGCUAAUCAGAGUCGGGCCCGGUUAGUACUUGGAUGGGAGACCUCCUGGGAAUACCGGGUGCCGUAGACU
rfam:Callipepla squamata strain Texas jcf7180005163384, whole genome shotgun sequence.